rnacentral:rRNA from 1 species
UACGUAGGGGGCAAGCGUUGUCCGGAUUUAUUGGGCGUAAAGAGCGUGUAGGCGGUUUGGUAGGUCCGCUGUGAAAACUCGAGGCUCAACCUCGAGACGCCGGUGGAAACCAUCAGACUAGAGUCCGGAAGAGGAGAGUGGAAUUCCUGGUGUAGCGGUGAAAUGCGCAGAUAUCAGGAGGAACACCGGUGGGCGAAGGCGGGUCUCUGGGCCGAUACUGACGCUGGAGGAGCGAAAGCGUGGGGAGCGAACAGG